rnacentral:lncRNA from 1 species
CCUCCCCCCUCUCCAUCUCUGGCGCAUCAAGGCAAGUAGUGGAGCUCGUCGUCGAUCUCGCCGCCUCCACGGCGAGCUCGCAACGGCGGGCGAUCCGCGCACACGCUCGCCAUAUAGGAGGAGCACGAGCGCGCCCAGCAUGGAGGCGGAAACGAGAGAGGCGUCGCCGCUCACACGCUCGUCGGGGGAGGAGUGCGGUGGUCGUUCACGGCGCCGGCAGGGAGAGUCGUGGGAGGGUCGCCGAGGGAUCUCGAGACGGCGGCGAGCAGAACCGCCUCGACUUCUCCGCCGUCACGCUCGCCUCACCUCCUCCACUACGCUUGCAGAGCCAACCUCGCCGCCACCUCGCCUCGCCUCCUCCACCGCCUGUUAGGAUCCGCCGCCUCCUCCUUGCUCGGCUCUCCCGACGGCACCACAGAGAAAGAGAGAGGGAACGAGGUGGAGAGAGAACCUCGCCGCCACCUCGCCUCCUGCGCCGCGACCCUGCCCGCUGCCCGUUCACGCACGCCCGAGAGAGAAGAGAGGGGAGGGGGAAGAGGGGUACUAACAGGUGGGUCCUAUAUUUUCUUUUAUUUCUUUUUGCUGAUUGUAUUUUCACGUCGGUGCAACGUGUAGAAGAAAAACCGCUCAGGAUUGAGUCAAGGGGUAAUUUAUCCGGUAUCAAUAGUUUGAGGUGUAAUAUGUCCGAUUUUGUGGUUCGGGGGGUAAUUCGUGUUGUCGCAAUAGUUUAGGGAGGUAAUUCAUACUUUUUCCUAUUUUUAAAUCUGUAGUUUUAUGAUAUAUUGAUCAAAAUACAUGUAGUUUUGUGAAAUUACUCAAUAAAAUUCAAUGAUUGUGACUGUUUUGCGUGCAAAUUAGGAGUACCGAACCAACUACCACAAGUGUAGCGCAGUGUAGCACAGUAGCGAAGCCAACUAGCCAAGCCACCCCCAAAGUCCAAGCUGGCUUCAGUCAAGCAGGCGCAUGAGCAGAUAAGGCGCGCGCCACGUCCACCACACACAAUGGGGACGUUACCCGUCGCCCACAGGUUCUCGCUCGCCUCGGCCUUCCUGCCGCGCCACCGCCGGCCAUCGCCGUCCGCCCCCAACCGGCGCCGGCGGCAUGGAACGGUGGUGGCGUACAUGGAGCCGAACCCCAACUCGCCGUCCUCCAUCGCGGGCCGCCUCAUCGGGGCUCUCCCCGUGGUGGGCCUCGUGGCGCGCAUCCUGAGCGACGAGGGUGGCGUCGGCGGCGACAUGAUCGACUUCGCCGAGUUCCGCCGCCGCGUCAGCAAGAAGUGCACCGUCAUGGACUCCCAGGCCUUCUACGAUUUCAACGAACGCCGCGGCAAGGUACCCGUCGCUCCUCUCGCCGUCGAUUUCUUCUUCUCAAUGCCAAAAAUGAUGCAAAACCAAGCAGAAAUGCCAAAAAUGUUCUUUUAAUUGAUUUGGUGAGCAUAUGUUCCGUUGUUUGACAGGCAGGAGAUCCCUUCUACGUUCUGCUGUGCUGCUGGCUGGCCGCCGUUGGUGGCGGGCUGCUGAAAACGGAGGAGAUCUUGGAAGGCGUCGCGCGGCUCCGCCUCUCCAACGACAUCGAGUUCGAGGAGGAGACGUUCCUCGACAUGAUGAAGACGGCAAAGGAGGUAGCCAUGCUUAAUUCAGCAACUUUUCUGGAAGAACAUGUCCCUGCACUGCAAAUUUGAAUGCAUACUAUAUGUCCUAUAAAUUGGUCCCUAAGAGAAGAUGAAUUUUAUUGCAGAAAAGAGCAAAGCUGAAGGCUCCGGCGCCACAGAUACCAAUGGAAGCGCGGGCGGAGAAGGCCCUGGAGGCCAUCUACGUGUGCUGCUUCGGGCAGGACAUGGUGGAAGACGUGGACGUGAAGCUGCUGUGCAAAAUGCUGAACGCCGUCUUCCCCUCCGUCGGGAGGCAGGCGGUCGAGAGGAUAGUGACCUCCAUGGCGAAGCAGGUGGCUGCCGGCGAGAGGAAGGGCCCCGGCGUCAAGACCGUGUCCAAGGAAGCAGCGCAGCGGCAACUCAAGGACCUGGAAUUUCUCAAGCAGAACAAGUUGGAUUCGGCAUGAGCAUUGUGCAGAACACAUUGGGAAAUUUUGUCAGAUAGACGUCGUUUUUAGGCCAAGAAACAGAAAUUGCAUGGCUUACUUGGCCGUGUUUGUCAUAGACCGAGUUUUCUCCUAAGAUGUGCUAGGAAGGUCAGCUAUCGUAGGGAAAUAGAAAUCAGCAUAGAUUGCAAGUUUGCGACACAGUUGACGCAGGCCAAACAAUGGUCUCGGUUCAUUAGAAUUGCAAUGUGAGUGAGCUCAGAACCUUGUAAGAUGAAGUUGUACGUUGUGACAUGCUCAGAAAAUGUCUACUGCUACAGUACUUUUUAAUGCUACAUGUGUUUACUAAGAAUAAAAAUGUAACAGACGUGGCAUCGUUUAAGAUGGCAAAACCAACAGGUGCAUUACUUUCUACUAUCAUCAAAUCUAUAUUAUCGUCUGUACUUACUGUAAUUUAAGCCAAAUAUUUUUCAAAAUGACUCUCUAAACGUAUAAUGAAGUACUUUUUGUUAUGCAUUUAACAUUAUCACUUUUAUGCUAUGUAAUUAAACAUGAAUUUAUAUCAGUCAAAGUUUACACUAAAACACGUACAAAGAUUAGUAAGUCGAGCAACAUUUUGUUCUAAACUGGGUCAUCCUGGGCCGCCUAACGGGCCAAACAUCACGGUCAGCGAAUUCCGGAAGCCCAUUACAUCACACCCAUCCAUGGAAGCCUGACACGUGUACUCCGGUCACGCGCGUAGCCCAAACCACCACAAGGGCCGCGUCGGUGGCGGCGUCCAGGCCGCCCGGAACAUCUCGCCGUCGGAACGACGAGGCGGCGCGGCGGCUCGCGGUGUCCGGGCGGAUCCACGAGGGAACGGCCCCUCCGAGGUCGCAGCGAUGCCGGUGAGGCGGCGGCAGCCGCGGCGGAGGGAGACGGGUGCGGCGGAGAGGUACAGGGAGAUGGGGAUAUCGGCCGCGCUGUCGCGGCCGUGGGACUACCCGACGGCGUGCGGCGAGAUCGCCGCGCUCCUCCGAAUCGGGUACGGCGACCUCCCCAAGGCCGCCCAGGCUCUCGUCGCCGGCGACGUGCUGCUCGCGUUCCGGCUCCUCCCUGAGUAAGCCCCUUUCUCUUCCAAGCUCGUGCCGCUCCCCAGAUGUGCACAAUUCUGACGAAUUUCCAGUGAUUUUGCACUGUUUCUGUCUAGUGGAACCAGCUCUAGCCCUCUAGCAACUCGUGAAGAGGCAUUGCUUUCUUAUGUUGAUCUGUCCAAUUAUGAAACUUUGUUUGAGCGGGUAGGCACCAAGCUCGAUCAAUUAAAGCACCGAUCCCUUACAAAUUGUGAUUUUGAGCAUACACGCUUAUGCGCAAUUUCUCCAGAUAAUGUGUCUGUCGAUGGCUAUGUCUAUAACAGCCGCGUCCACCUCACUAUCCCACUGACCUGUUGAAUUUUAAGGUCAUGACUCGUGCAUAGUUCGAAUUUGUUGGAAAAUUGUGUACUUUUAGGUCAUGCAUUGUUAGAUUUUUUUUGGAAAUGUGUCGUGCUUGUCGCUCAUAAAUUCAUGAUGUCUGGUUAGGACUUGUGAUUAUGUGUUCUAUUAUAGAAGGCAUAGAACUAAAGACGAAUGGCACGCAAAUGCUCACUUAGCAUGCUAUGUUUCUGGCUUAAUGUCAUUGUUCUAUUAUAUUGGCAGUUGGCACACAGGAGCUUGUAUUAACUCAUUUUACCCGGUAGUGUACAGACAGGAUAUGCGUUAAGCGCAGCUAAUGGUCUUCUCCAAGCUGUAGACGGUUCCCUACCAAAGCAAAAGAAGGCACAGGCUGUUUCAGAGUUCAAGCGUUCUGUUGUUGCACAUAAGCGGCGUGCUAGGGUUCAACAAGAUCCAGGUAUGUGACAGGCUCCUGUCAAGUGUGUUGUAUGAUGUGCAUUUACACUAUCAUGCUUACUGAUCUGUUAGGAUGGUAAACAACGAUUUAGAAACUGGUAAAUGUUGUCUGUGCUUUCAACCUUCAUCAUUUUUCAAUUGCUAGGAUAGAUUUCGGCAGUUUUUAAACUAAUUUACCUACUGAAGCUGCAGUGUCCUGUCAAGAUUUAAAAGAACAAAUGUACAAAUAUUUACUAACUAAUGGCAGUCAUCGUGAUGCGUUGUUUUGUGCCCAUUUUGCAGGUGUACCACAUAUACCAUACGAUGUGCUUGUUCAUAUUUUCAGUUUUCUUGACAUGCGCUCCUUGGUAGCUGCUGGUCUUGUCUGCUGGUAUUUCUUUUUUCUCUUGUCCGUGUAAUUCAUUAAGCAUUACUUUAUUGUUGACAACUAUCUAUCUUUCUUAGAAGGCCUUGGAAUUCUGCUGCAAAUGACAACCACCUGUGGGAAAUGAAUUACUCCCUUUUCUUCGGCAUCUGCCAUAUAAACUGCAAUAGCACACCUACAGCUGGUAAUGUACAGAACACUGAUUAUCAUGUACAGAAUAGCAUUUAUCAAGUAUCUCCGGAUCCUGGUUUUAACUGGAAAGAGGCUUUCCACAAAAAGUAUGCAGGUAAGGCUAUUCUAUUGUAGAUAAAUUUGAUAAACUACAUUAACUUAUUCCCAAAGGCUAAAAUAUCAUUCAUUACAGAACAAGAAACAUGGAGUUCCGCAUCAAAUAGAGCAUUAUGUGGAUAUUGCCGAUCUGUCAUUUGGUUGUGCGACUUGACGUGUGCUACUCCACACUAUUGCCUUAAUAAUGGAAAAGAUGGAGUAAAACUAGGACCUCUAUUACCUCAUACAGUAAGUACUUUUAUUUAUUGUUAAUAGUAGUGUUUUAUGAUAGUUUUGAACCCAACAGAUAGAUAAUGAAGUCUAAAAUUCACUGCUCAUUUCAUUGCAGCAACAAUUUUUAAAUGUUAAAAUUUAAUGUUUUUUCCCUUCUUCACUACAAUGUGCUGACAGCAUUGUUUUAUACUUUCCUGAACAAGGUUGCUGACUACAUAUUGGACAUCGCUGAUCUAGCAGCUUCAUCGACAGAAAGUGAUGAUACAGAUAGCGAUUCUGAAAAUUAUCCCCAGGCACGCUUUUGGUCGUUGUCAUAGUAAAAGGAAAACAAUGUAUACAUCGACUUGAGAUGUGGAUUGUGAACUUGUUAUAACUCUUUAAUUUCUGGUAGUUUUCUGAGUGUGGUAUGUGCAUCGUUGGUAGCGACUGAAUGAAACGGCACACCGAGUUAAAACUUAGAAGUAUAAGCUAAUAGAAAAGCUCUAUCAUUAUAAGGUAUACCCACCGUACAAAAUGGAAGCCAAAUAACUGUAUGACGCACCACGCACCCUAUAGAGCCUUAAGACUAUUGUUUUUGAAGAAUGGAUGCUCACUAUAGUACUUAAAAAAACUCAGGUAGCAUAACCCAUCCAUAAGAAUCGUGCAUUUGGACAUUAUGGAGGCCAAAGCAAAACAACUCCUACUCAACGGUCAAACCUCUGGAUUAGCCUACAUCAAACAACCACUUUACCAUAGGUCCCAAGCCUUUCAAAUGGAAUACCAUAAAGAUAAGUCACAUAUUGAUAGCACUUAGUACCAACAGCUUCCAGGGGCGGAAGUUGAGUUAAACAUGAGUUUGAAAACAGGAUAUAGAUAGAGCAUGCUGGCAUAAUUCGAAUUCAUUGAAGUUCAGCACAUCGCAACUACUAGCCACACCAAAAUGUAGGUAUUUACUAUCAGUAAAGGCAUGGAAUCGUAGCCAUCCUUUAAAACCGACAAUUAGUGAUCAGGCUGGAUGAUAAAUUAGCAUAGUACCUUCUACGGCUCAUCCUACAAUUUCUAAUGCUUCUUGUUUUUCAACGGACCCUUGGGGAUCUUAGAGAGGCAUUUCUCAUCGAAAAUAGCAUAGUACUUCUUCAGUUCGAUCAUGGCCUUCUCUCCAAAAGCAUCGAUUUGGUCCUCAUACUUCUCAUACAGAACAGGCACGGUGUACAGUACCAUAAAGACUGCAAGAAAGAAAACUGUAGUUGGUAACAGUGCUAAAUGUGGUAACUUGUACAGUUGUUGUACCAAAAUAAUUACCUAUGUAGAACAAGGUCAGGAAAUUGCAGCAGCUCCCAAGAACAGAGAGAACCCAGAGACCCACGACAACCUUAAUAAAGAGGACCAGCAUAAGCAAAUUGAGCAUGUCGAAGAGAUACCAUUAAACAAUGAAGGCUUAAAAAAGGUAAUCAUGUUGCCAAUCUGACAUACAAUCAGAAAUUUCUUCAGGUCAUGCCCUUGACCAAUCUCCCUCAAGGUAGCAAAGCCCCUAUUGAUCUCAAAUCUCAGUGAGCGAGCAACAUUAACAGCCAGGUCCUCUGGGAUCUUCACUUCAGGAAUGUUAGGAGGGGACCUAAAAAAAUUGCAAGACAGAAAUUACAGCCACAAACUAAACAUAUUCACCAUUUAUGCAUUCCACAAACUCAACAUAUUACAGCCACAAGCUUAGAACGUGUAACAUUCCAGGCAUUGUGACCAUCGACUACAGAUCCACAAAGUAACAGGGCGAUAAAAGUAAGUCCCAAGGAGCAUUAUCACAAUUACACAACAUCCAUCUACAGGCCAAUAAAAAACUACUAAUACAUUAUAAGUUAACAUGCCGAUAAAAGGAUGUCCUAAGAAGCGUUAUCACAAUUACACAACAUUCAUCUACAGGCCAAUAAAAAACUACAUGAAGUUAACAUGAUAAGGUAUCACAAUUACACAACAUUAAUCUAUAGGCCAAUAAAAAGCUAGAUCAAGUUAACAUGCCACUGACAAUUUAAGUUUGAUAUGUUGUGAAUAACAGUUGAAGUUACAGGAAGCUCACUUGUUGAUGAAAGUUGAGGCAUUGGACCAGAGGAAGAGCAUGGCCAGGGUGAGGAUGAUACAGUGGCACAACAGGGUGAGGAGAUGAUAAUCCAUGACUUCAAACAGCAGCCAGAUGGCCGUGGCGCCAGCGAGUACCCCAACGGAGAUUUUCUUGUUCCUCCAUAGAAAGAGAUCAGCAGCUGCAACCACAAACAUAAGCACAUCAGAGGAGAGCAAAUCCCCAUAUAAACAAUAAGAUACCCAGCUACACUACCAAACAAAGAAUCUCAGGGUUUAAGCAUAAAGGAAUAUAGCGCAUCAACAUCACCGCUCAGUUACUAUUCUAUUGCAUUUAAAUCCCAACCUAGAUGCGAAAUCUACACGAACAAAUACUAAUCUGAUCACAACCUACUCACAUUGUGGCGAAAACGCAGCAUAAAUUUGACUUCAGAAAUCACGGAUCGCGACGUUCUCCACACGCUCGUAGUUCCGGGAGAAAGUACAACAAACGAGCCCCACUCAGAAAAAGCGGAGCGAAAACCCCGAUGCGGUCGGAUCUACACGCUCGCAAGAACACAGACGCCUACAAGCGAAAAAGAGCUUUAAGCUUUGGGUCUUACGCUUGCCGCCGCCGAGGACGGAGUGGACGGGCUUCUCGCGGCCGAAGAGGCGGUAGAUCUUGGCCUUCAAGUCGGCCGUCCUCUCCCCGUCGGAGUCCGACGACGACGACGACGAGCCCCCGCGGCCGUGGAGCUUGUCGGAGAUCUUGUCCAUCACCGACUCCACCAACGACUCCUCCUCCUUGUGCUCCGCCAUGGCUAGCUGCUGGCUCUCUCUCUCCCCCUCUUCUUCUCCCUCCUCGCUCGAACAGUCGAACUCUUCUUUCUUUUUUUUUUCGCACGAACUCUUUUUGCCUUUUUGCUUUUCUUUUUCCUCCUUUUCUCCGUAGUCGUGGCGUUGGGUUUUAUGCGCGGAGUGAGGCGAUCCUGGCCGUUGGAUCGGGCACGAUCAACCGCGUGAUUAAGUCCUGCGUUAACCCGGCGAAGUAAUUGGCGCGGUUAAGCGUGGUAAUAACUCCUCGAGACGACGGGUAAUUAGCGCUAAUCGGCUUGCACGCGCAGGGAGGGCCCACCUGUCAGCGAUCGUGUGGGACCUCUGUUGGGGUUUAGCACGGGGAAGUAAUGAAGGGGGUGGAGAUCACGAGGAGGUUACUGGCACCGUGACGAGUGACGACGCGUGGCGUGCCUGCGCUUUCGCCGGCAUCCGUCCGUGGGGAGGGGUCGUGGGCGCGUCCGCGCGUGUUCCUUCCAACAACUCCAAAGAGUCCAAGGGGAAGGGAGCUAGUGGGCGAGUUAGAAGCUUCUAGACGAAGGUGCGGAGUUUGAAAAGGAGGAGGAUUUUGUGGUGUGGGCCUGGCUGGCUGAUUCUUGCGGGCCAAGUCCAGGUUAGGCUCAAGUGCUCUCGUAGGCUCGUAGCCCAGUGUCUCUUCGGAAGGCAUCGCAAAGGCAAAGGGACAAAGUGUACCAUCAGUUGUGUGGGCGACACUGUUACGUAGUCCCUCCGUUUUAUACAUUAUACGGAAGAUGUUUUAGUCUCUCUAUGUUUCAUCUAAACUCACUAAGAGCAGGUACAAUAGCAGGCUAUAAGCCAGCUAUAAACAUAUUUUAAAGAGAUAAAGGAAGAGAGAGAAAAGCAGCGGGCUACAGAUCUGUAACUAGCUGCAGCACGGACUCCAUGACGUAAUGUGUGUAUGACAGGUGGGACCAAGUAUUAAUAGUAUAGUAAGUAACUAUUGUAUGAAUUGGCUAUAGAAGAUUUGGAGCUAGCAGUGGGCUGCACUAUUGACCUUGCUCUAACAUUUAUCCAAAAUAUCUUAUAAUGUAAAACAAAUAAAGUACGAUUUAGCUUUUUUUUAAGUAUAAUGGUGUAUAUAGCCGGCCUAGAUCUUAUUAUACUCUUUUGUGUCAUCUAAUUGCGACGAUAAACACUUAAAACCCUUUUGUGUUACAUGCAAAUACGUAAUAGCAUAUGCUAUUACUCCAGGCUGGCAUGGCCGAUCACUAGUCUAUCAUGUCAUAUUUACAAACGAGGCAAAGAUACCGAUAAAUAAAUAUGUGCCUAUCGACAACUGAAUAUCGAAGUCGUUGUAGUGUAGUGGUGAGUAUUCCCGCCUGUCACGCGGGUGACCCGGGUUCGAUCCCCGGCAACGGGGAAUUUUUUUUUUCCCCAAUUAUCAUGUGCUAUGCUAUAUUGAUCUUCUCAUCAACGCGUGGAUUGGAAUGCGAUCCCUCUCUAAAAGCCAUGGUAUAUCCUCAUGCAGUCAACUAGUGGAGGAGGCCGAGAUAUAUAUUAGGAAAAAUCUUAUUUUGCUUCCCUUUACAAUAGCCCAAAUCUGGUUUCCAUUUCUUAACCGCAAAUCAAAUAUGAAAUCUCCCACAACUGUUAAGACUGGACCAAUUUAAGUAUUUAACUCUCGUCAAUUUGAAAAGCGGUUUCAUCCCAUGUGUCGCCUGAUUUCCAUUUCUUAAGACUAGACCAAUUUACCACUAUCGUUAAUUUGAAAGCCGUUUCAUCCUACGUGUCAGUUAUAUGAUACAUUGACCUUAUCUUUAUCCUAUACGGCUACGUGGUGUUUAUGUGACACUAUAAAGAAAAAAAAAACACUAAUGUGACACACAUGUCAAUGGCAGUCCGAUUGAAAAAAAAAUCAAAUAAAAACAAAAAAUAUGGCCCCACAUGAUCCACUAGUGGCAGGAGAGAUAUUGAGGAAGGGGAGGAAGAAAUAGAGUCCCGGCCAUGUAGGUUCCACUGUUUUUUUUUUCUAAUAGAAAUACUAUGUACUCCCUCCGUUUCAAAAAGAAAAUCUAGCACAUCCUAUACUACGAGUAUCAUCUAGAUGCCACAUCAAAUGAAAUCGUUGUCCCCUGUCCAAACUACCCCAAGAGAGGGAAAACGAACCGGUUGUUAAAUGAAUAAACCUCCGCAUUCGAUUGUAUGGAUAAACGAUGAAAGUUGGAGUGGGGGAGAUCAAACGGACGUUUUGCACGAUAUUACGACAUUUCCAGGUUUCUAAGCUCUAAAAAGGCCCAAUCGAUCAUGUGACCUUCGUACAUAGCCUACUAGGAACUAACUACUCGAUCCCGACCCAGCUAACAAAGUCUGUUUCCCUCCCUCAUCUCUUCUCCCGAUUGAAUCGCAUCCCUCAACCGUAAAACUAGGUAUAACGCCUCCUACUAGGGUUUCCCAAACUGCCGGGGCUAGGGUUACCGCGCCCCGGCGGUAAGCACGGUUACCGCGCGGUAACCGUACGAAACCGUGCAAAAUUUAUCAAAAAUUCAAAUUAUUUUUUAAAUUUAUUUGAAUUUAAGAAGGUUACCGCGGUUUUUCUAUUACCGUACCCCCGCGAUAAGGCCGGUAACAGUGGUAACCGCGCGGUUACCGACGGUAAGUCGAACCCUACCUCCCACAUUUUCAAAAACCGGUGCAAAUCGACUUCUUUGAUGUUAGGAAACGUUUUUCGCUGACGUGGCAGGUUGACUCGCUGAGUCAGUAGAUGGGAGGCUCUCGGCGCGUGCAAGGGAAGAGGGGAGCAUGGUGAGGGUGCGCCAGCCAUCCAUGUCAAUGCGCCAAGCUCGAUCUUGACCACUGUCGCGCUGCUUGCAACGGGCUCAUCGAGCUCUACCUCACGCGCGAUGAGCUCGCCUCCAUGGGCACUCCUCGACAAGUUCCCAGUCGACUAGGACAUCGUUUCCUACGUGGCCAUGGUGACCGCCCACGCAAAGCACGGGUUCUUCAACAAGGUUGUGCUGCUGUUCUUGGCUUCGCCAUGGUGGAUGAUUGCAACGUGUCCAUUGCUGCUCUUGGUGUGCAAGUAGAUCAAGGACCUGCGGUGGGCCAAUCGUCCUCAGAUCUCUAGGCGGAGAGCGAUCUCGCUAGCCGUUAGGUCCUACCCACCACUACCUAGCGAGUCGACAUGAGGGUUGGCGAGGAGAGGGGUGUUGGCCGACACAUGCUGGGGGCUCAUGGCAUUGUCAAGGCUACCUACCCCGCUAUCGUCCCCUGCGCUGAAACGUUGGCCCUCAUGAGACGAGGCUCCGUCGCCAGCCCUAGGAGGGUUCACUUGUGACAUCACCCCCCCCCCCCAACAAUGAUCUCCAGUCCAAUGCCUAGAAGGUUGACCUCCUUGCACCCUUCUCCUCUCUCCACGACAUGCUCUGCUACCGUGAAGAUUGUCGUCCUCUUCGGCUCCCAUACCGCCGACAACACCCACUACUCCUUCUUCCCUGAGCUCUCGCGUCCUCCUGCACCACCACAACCUCCCAAGCUCUCGUCCCGACCUCGUCGAGCGCCUCGCCGGACUGCCUUCCUCACCGGCUGCUACUACCGCCUUAUCGCUGCCUUGCUACCAUCGGGAGAGAUGGAAAAUAGAGUAGUCCCUGACACGUGGGUCUUACACUCUUAUCUUACUUGCUUACUCACCGAGUCAAUCAUGACCAACCUGUCACAUUAGAAAAAAAAACGUUUCCUAAACCAUCGAAGAAGUCGAUUUGCACCAGUUUUUGUCUUGGAGAGGCGUUAUACCCGGUUUUGCGCUUGAGCCUUGAGAGAUGCGAUUCAAUCAUAAGCAAGAUAAGAAGGGAGUUAAAAUAGACUUAGUCAACCAGCAAAUGUAUGUCCCUUUGUCAGACUUGGAUAUUCCCAGCCCAUUAAUCUCUAGUCUGGUCUCCUCGGUCCGCGCGCUGAGAAUCGCCAAAACCUAUGUGGCCCAUCAUCCGCCGGUCCGUGUGGCCUUCCAAGGAGAGCGACGCGGCGAAAGCCUCACGCGUUUCGUUCCCCCCUUGGCCCCCUCCCCGCUCACUCACCCAGCCGCUCCCUCGGCUCGGCAGCGAGCGGCAGAGGAAACCGGCAAACCGCGGUGCGCGGCACGGCGCGCGUCCUGCACUCCAGCUCCGCGCCAUAACUGCGAUCCCCUCCUCCUCGGCCUCCCCCUCCUCACCGGCAAUUAAUGCCGCCAACUACCAGAUCCACCCCUCCGGAAACCUAAAACAAAAUACCCCUCUUCCCGUUUUGCCCCUCCUCGGCUCUUCUCCCACCCCAGCCGCGCCCCCCCGCACGCCAUGCCAUUCCGCCCCACGGUCUCGCCGCCGCCACCGCCGCCGCCG